CACAGGCACGAGGGAACCCGCAGCAUCCCCGAGACGGGCUCCGGCCGCACCGCGGCGGUUCGCGACUCAGGGACCCAGCGCGCAGCUCCCGGUCACCUGCCAGGACACGACCGCUGCCGACGUGGGCACCCGCGGCGCCCGAGCGCCAGGACGCGGAGUUGUCUCUGGUUGGUGUGACAUGUGCGUGAAGAAACGGUCCAGCAGCAAAGGGUUAUGAAGGAACCAGCUGGAGAGGCAUGUGAGAGGGUCGUGGGAUGCCUGUCAGCUUCCAUGAGCAGAUGGAGAAAAAGGACCAAGCUGAGGGUCUCCUGAAUCUGGACACCAACUGAUGACAUGAGGUUCUGUACAUACACCAUCAUACCCCGGCCCGGGCAGAAGUCUUCGAGUGGACAGUCUUGGGCUGAAGUGGCAGGUCUCAGCAGAGAUUCGAGCUCCUUUGCUCCCAGAUGUGACCCUCCCGCUGAAGCUUUCACUUCCACAUUCCACCCAGAUGACAGGAGAAGAAGAAGAGCUUGCUCCUCGCUUUAAGGACAUCUCUUAGAAGUUGCAUAUGAGGGGCGCCUGGGUGGCACAGCGGUUAAGCGUCUGCCUUCAGCUCAGGGCGUGAUCCCGGCGUAAUGGGAUCGAGCCCCACAUCAGGCUCCUCCGCUAUGAGCCUGCGUCUUCCU